UCAUACACACAAAUGGAGAGGUGACAGCACGGAGGGAUACGGCGGGACACAAAUAUUACGCGGACCAAUUUGUGAGGUCUGAUUUUUUUUUUUUUAGGCAUUUUUAUGAUUCAAAUGUAUUACUCAUUUGAAUGCAUAUUGUUGUGAGAAGCCAAACUCCUUACUUAAAUGACCCAGCAACUAAGCAGAACUACGUUCCCCGUCACGGAAUAUCCGACCAGAACUGGACCAAAUGUGGGGCGUCAUACGUGAUUCGCCAUCAGGAGACCACCAUCUUCCUCUCCUUCCCUCUCAAAGAUGGGAGUCAUGGGAGUAGAAAAAUGGCGGCAGUGAGCAGACAAACGCCGAUUGGCUGAGCAGGGAGGUGGCAUGGCAGAGGAAGAAGAGAGGAAGACAGUGUCUGUGCACGCUGCUGUCUGAUUGGUGGUUUCCAGAGGAUGAGCACGAGUCAGGGCUUGGGGUGCAGAGCAGUGAGGUGGUCGGUCUGCUGCCUCCAUGCUGCGUCAGUCCGCAAUGUACUACAUACACAUCCAUGUUGAGCGUAAGCACACCAAGAAAAAAGUUUUAGUGCCUCAAAUUGUGUUUUUUUUCUUAACCAGUCUCAAAUUUUGCUCAGCGCUGUGCUUUGGAUUUGACUUCUGACCUUGCAAGUCCUCUGCGCGACCAGAUUGCCUUUUUCCAGCGAUGAAGAGCAGACCUUGCUGGGGAUUCUGGGUAGUGUAGUGAACAGACCACUUGUCCCCAUCCCGUGCUGGAGACAAAAGAAGAAAAUCAAGACAGCGUUCCAUGGUCCUUGUCAGUUACUGGGGCUGUUGCUAUGGUGACCAGCAGCAUGGCAGACUUGCAUCUCUCUAAAGUGGUCAAGAUACACACACCCCAAACAUGUACAGAUGAAAACAAACUCACCUCUGCUUUUUUUUAGAUACUUGAAGACGCAUUUGAUGGCUGCGCCGAUCAGAACCAUCCCGCAACCAAAGACACACUCAAGCAACCUCAGAAUACUGCAGCACACACAAGUAAUGCAGCCAAACGCCACUGCAAUGUGCUCGUCAUACUCCUCGUCCUCCUCUUCACCCCCCUCUCUUUCUCUCCUUCACACACACACACACACACACACACACACACAGCCAGUACACAUGCAUGUCACCAGGUGAUGGUUAUUCACAGAUGCUGUGUUGACACACUCACACACACACACACACACACUAUCUCCAAAGCGAUAAAGGCAUGUGUGUGUUCAUCUUUUUCUCUGAGGACACCCGCAUACACAACUUCAAAUGAAGACAACAGAACCAUGACAACACUGAUCACGCAACAACCGUAUUAUUAAAUGUAACACAUCACAAACGUGAGCACAUCACUCACAUUUCAGCAACCACUUUUAUUACAGUCUGUCGACACUUCAAAUUUCCUAACUUCUAUCAUUGUUUUUCAAAAAGAAAUUCAUUAAUAAAUCAUGUUGUUUUGUUAAAUAUGGCCCUUAUUAGAAUAUAUGCAUAUUUAAGCUAAAGUUACAUAUUUAUUACCUAUAUUUAAGCAUUUUCGAGCAUAAAAUUGGCUAAAAAAAUUGAAAUACAAAUACAAGACAUUCAAAAAAAGCAUUCAAAGAAGCUGACGUAGUAUUCUACACUAGCCACCAGGUGUCAGUAAUGUUACAAUCACCAGACUUGAAGUGCAGGUUUGAAUUAUCUCACAACAGGCAUAAUCCCUGAAAAAAAUCCCAAAUAAAAACACGGGCUACUGUUGCUUCUGUAACCCACAGCAAGAUGAAACUCAAGUCUGAACCCUUGACGUCACUUCCUGUCCACCACUCACUCUGCUUCCCCUACAGAACACAUUUAUAGCAACACACACAAGCACGGGUCUUAAAUGGGUUAUUUACUCUUAUGUCUACUCUAUUUGGUAAUAUGAGAGUAAAGGUGACUAUCGGAGUGUUAGUUCAUUUCUAGAGGGCUCUAAUGAUGUUAAAAACAGCAUUUGGAAUAUCGUGAACAGGUUUUUUAUGCUCUAUGAAAAUAUUCCUUCUAUAAAUAAGGAAUCCUACUUCGCGGAAAUUCAAUUAUCACGGUUAGGUCUGAAACCAGUUAACGGCGAUAAACGAGGGAUUACUGUAUAUAUAUAUAUAUCUUUGUAUAUACUGUACUUGACAGUAGUGUGUCAGUAUACCGUAAAUUAAAUGUCCCCUGAAAAUGACUCAACACAGUCAUUGUUAGCUACAACACAAGUGAUUACCAUAUAAUUGAAGACCUGCCAAUCUUGAAGGAAUUUGAUGAGUACCUUGGACACCCCUGCUUUUAUAGCCCUCGUCUAUAUGAGCACAUGACACCUGACACAAUCACAACUCUUGUCAACCAUUUAGCUUGCUAGCUUCGUUCAUCGCAAGCAAACAAUGGCAAUGAAAGAGUGACAGAGCAUGUUAUGGAGCUAAUCAAUGUGCAAAUGUUGCCGCAAAAUCGGGAAAGGCGUUUGCAAAGGUGGUCGGCGGAAGUUCUAAAUGAGUCAUAUACUGUACACACACAGGAAAUAAAGUUAAAAAUCCAACCAACCAAUCAAGUCUUUAUGGUACGUUUCAUCGCAGCACAAAGUUAGAGACUGAACCUGAAACUGAAACCACCAAAAUGCAUGACUGGAGACCAGUGUAGCAUACAUCUGUAACUUUGUCUUGCCUAAAGUCAGGCAUGGUGAUGAUAGUGUCGUGGGCUGCAUGAGUGCUGCCGGUAAUGGGGCGCUGGUUCAUUGAGGGAAACACGAAUUUUAAACAUGUACAGUACUCUGACAUUCGGAAGCAGAACACCUCCAAAACGACAAGUGCCUUGCUAAGGAAGCUGAAGGUGAGGGAGUGGCCAACCAUGUCUCCAGACCUGAACCCAAUUGAGCACCUGUGAGGCAUCUUCAAGCGGAGAGGAGACCAAGGUGUCUAACAUAUACCAGCUCUGUGAUGUCAGCAUGGAGGAAUGGAAGAGGAUUCCAGUAACAAGCUCUGAAGUCCAUGCCCAAGAGGACUAAGGUAAUCGUACUCACUUUUGUGGGGGGCAGUCAAUCAAUGAAAAUAUUUAAUCGUGAUUAAUAGUAUUUUGUUCACAGUUGAAUUAAUCACAAUUAAUUGCAGAUAAGGUUUUUAUCCAUAGUAAGUCGGGAUGUAAAUCUGUUUGUGGUAAAUGAUUUGAUACACAUCUAGUUACACGGGCUAAGAUACCAUUCAAAAACGAUGUAUUUUAAUAACAGAAUGACUAGAUAAGAUUUGAUAGAGUGUACAAACAAUAUGAUUUAAUUAGAUUGAACGGUGACAUUUAUUGAUGUUGACAUUAAUCCUACAUUAUAAAAUAAAGAAGCCAAUUCUAUAAAAGUGGCAUUCUUGCAGUAUUUUCGAGUGUGUAAAAGAGCACAUCAUAUCCCAAGCAUGGUCUAAGGCAGGGGUCCUCAACCACCGGCUGCAGAAAAAUGUUCAGGCAAAAAAAAAAAAAAAACACUUAAAAAAAAUAAAUACAUUUUUUUGUAAAUAACUACAUAAAAUUUUAUGUAAAGGGAUCAAUUUUGGAAAUAUGGGCCAUUAUUUUAUUGAAAAAAAUAAUAUACAGUUUGAAAUCCCACAGUUUUUGCAUUUUUAAUGCGACUUGUCCCAACGGUCAUUGAACGCACCAUCUAACUUUCUCCAAUGCUGCCCAGAUAGACUACAAACUGUAUUUUUCCCCUUUUUCUUUCAGCUCAUAUUUGGUCCAAAUGCUAAUGUUUGAUGUUCUUCCUGUCAGUUUUACACAACACAUAAUAAAUAAGAUAAAAUAGAUGGCUUUAAUGUACGUAUCUGUUGAAAAUCUUUCCCGGUGA